GAUGAAGAACGUAGCGAAAUGCGAUAAGUAAUGUGAAUUGCAGAAUUCAGUGAAUCAUCGAAUCUUUGAACGCACAUUGCGCCCAUUAGUAUUCUAGUGGGCAUGCCUGUUCGAGCGUCAUUAAGUCCACUUAAGCCCUGCUUAGUGUUGUGAGACUGCUCCAGCGGUGCUACCCUGUAGCUACCCUGCAGCUCCUCAAAGACAGCGGCGGAGUUGUGGUAUCCUCUGAGCUUAGUAACUUGUUCUAGCUUUCGAGUACACCACUUCCCCUGCCGUAAAACCCUUAAUUUUUAAUGGUUGACCUCGGAUCAGGUAGGAAUACCCGCUGAACUUAAGCAUAUCAAUAAGCGGAGGA
rnacentral:misc_RNA from 1 species